AACGGCCGUACCAUGCUGAAUAUACCGGUUCUCGUUAGAUCACCGAAGUCAAGAAUCAUUGGGCGCGGUCAGUACUUGGGUGGGUGACCACCUGGGAACACCGCGUGCCGUU
rnacentral:rRNA from 1 species